UAAUCUAUUAAAACGUAUAGUUGAGUGAAUGAACUUUAUUUCGGAGACCAAGCUGUUGAUACCCGAAGGUGGGCGGCUACCCUAUUUAAGGUAGCCGU
rnacentral:lncRNA from 1 species